UGGGGAAUAUUGCACAAUGGGGGAAACCCUGAUGCAGCGACGCCGCGUGAGCGAUGAAGGCUUUCGAGUCGUAAAGCUCUGUCCUAUGGGAAGAUAAUGACGGUACCAUAGAAGAAAGCCCCGGCUAAUUACGUGCCAGCAGCCGCGGUAAUACGUAAGGGGCGAGCGUUGUCCGGAAUUAUUGGGCGUAAAGAGUGCGUAGGCGGCAAAUUAAGUCAGAUGUGAAAACUAAGGGCUCAACCCAUAGAUUGCAUCUGAAACUGAUAUGCUUGAGUCAAGGAGAGGAAAGUGGAAUUCCUAGUGUAGCGGUGGAAUGCGUAGAUAUUAGGAGGAAUACCGGUGGAGAAGGCGACUUUCUGGACUUGAACUGACGAUGAGGCACGAAAGCGUGGGGAGCAAACAGG
rnacentral:rRNA from 1 species